rnacentral:rRNA from 1 species
CGGAGGAUCCAAGCGUUAUCCGGAAUCAUUGGGUUUAAAGGGUCCGUAGGCGGUUUAGUAAGCCAGUGGUGAAAGCCCAUCGCUCAACGGUGGAACGGCCAUUGAUACUGCUAAACUUGAAUUAUAAGGAAGUAACUAGAAUAUGUAGUGUAGCGGUGAAAUGCUUAGAUAUUACAUGGAAUACCAAUUGCGAAGGCAGGUUACUACUUAUGGAUUGACGCUGAUGGACGAAAGCGUGGGGAGCGAACAGGAUUAGAUACCCUGGUAGUCCACGCCGUAAACGAUGGAUACUAGCUGUUCGGAGCAAUCUGAGUGGCUAAGCGAAAGUGAUAAGUAUCCCACCUGGGGAGUACGUUCGCAAGAAUG